rnacentral:rRNA from 1 species
CAGUAGCCGCGGGAAUACGUAGGGUGCAAGCGUUAAUCGGAAUUACUGGGCGUAAAGCGUGCGCAGGCGGUUCUAUAAGACAGAUGAGAAAUCCCCGGGCUCAACCUGGGAACUGCAUUUGUGACUGUAGAGCUGGAGUGCGGCAGAGGGGGAUGGAAUUCCGCGUGUAGCAGUGAAAUGCGUAGAUAUGCGGAGGAACACCGAUGGCGAAGGCAAUCCCCUGGGCCUGCACUGACGCUCAUGCACGAAAGCGUGGGGAGCGAACAGGAUUAGAUACCCGCGUAGUCCCUGUCUCUUAUAC